UCUUACAGAUGAGCAAAGAAGGUGGUUUCUUGAGAUGGAAUCUAAUCCUGGUGAAGAUGUUGUAAA
rnacentral:pre_miRNA from 1 species